GCGUGUUUGGCUGGACGCCCCAUCUUGCAAGAUUGUAAAUAAAUUCUUUUCUCCUCCAGAACCGAGAGAGCGUUUAUUCCCUUACAGGCACCGCUUUAUUUCCGACAAGGUGAAGUAGCAUGGUGCCUGCAAAUUCCUUUCAAAUGGUUCGGGGAAAAGAUAAGUGAUAGAUAGAUGAUAGUCAGAUGGAUGGACGGAUGAUAGAUGAUAGAUAUAUAGAUGAUAAAUAAAUGAUAGAUCAUAGAUGAUAGAGAAACAGAAGUGCAAAUAAAGAAAAAUAAUUCAUCAAGGUGUAGGGCCUAUCACUGUCCUAUUCUAACUACUUUUCUGAAGUUUUGAAAUUUUUCAAAAUAAAAAUCAGAGGGAGAGAAUCGCUCAGCAAUGGCCCUAAACAUUUUGCCCACAUCCUCCAGGAAGGUCUGGGAUGGAGGUUGAGGGCCAUAAAUGCAGAUGCCUUUGAUCAAAAUAAACAGACAGCAGUUCUGGGAAUGGCUGCAUUCGCUGAAGUCCAUUCACAUUAGAAGACUCACAAGAAGCUGCUGUGGAAACUGACUGCUGUGGAAACUGUUUUUACAGACAUUUUCAACGCCAUUAAAUACAAAGCUGUGCAUGUGAAAACCCUGGAGUGGUAACCCAGGACAAGGUGGAAACAGGUUUGAGGUAUCCCAUCUCCACUUCAGAGACUGAAAACUGGGCCACUUAUUACCUCGGGUAACACCUAAAUGUCAAAAGGCAAGGACGGAGCCAGAUAGCAAAGCUAGCCCUUGAAUACAAAUGGGAAGAGGCUUUAAAAAUAAAGCCAGGGUUCAGGUUCCAAUACUCCAAAUGCCAAUCAAAAGACUCAUUUGUUUUUUAAAUAUGUGGCUGAGAGUUGAGAAUUGCAUCUGAAAGGCCGUUUUCCAGAAAUCCUCCUGUAGCACUGAGAUGCCAUUUGUCUCUGCUUUGGUUUAGUGGGUUUUUUUUGUUGUUGUUGUUUUGUUUUGUUUUUUAAGAAUAAAGGGAUAGCACUAUUGUCUGAAGUGUUUAAAACAGGCUUAUAUUCCUGACAUUCUAUUUUUUUUUUUAAUUUUUCAGAAUAAAAAUUGGGGUGAAAGAAAAAGAAUUGCUCAGACAGGGCCCUGAGAAUAUCUGCCGAAAGUGUUCAGAGAGAGAAAUCAUAAAAUCUCCAGCCACACUUCUGGAUUUAUCUAUUUUAUUCUCUGGUUUCGCCCACUGUUGUCUUAUAUACUUGGAGGUUAUAUUGAUAAUGGCAUAGAAUAUGGUUUCUAAUGAAGUAUUUCUGUCUGUUUUGUUCCCUGCUGUAUCCUUGAAACCUAGAACAAUGCCUAGCAUAUUAUAGGCAUUUAAUAUAUUUUGUUACAUGAAUAAAUAAAUAUAUGUUCAUAAUUGUUA